UACAGAGGUCUCAAGCGUUGUUCGGAUUCAUUGGGCGUAAAGGGUGCGUAGGUGGCGGGGUAAGUCUGGUGUGAAAUCCUGGGGCUCAACCCCGGAACUGCACUGGAUACUGCUUUGCUAGAGUACUGGAGAGGGAACUGGAAUUUACGGUGUAGCAGUGAAAUGCGUAGAUAUCGUAAGGAAGACCAGUGGCGAAGGCGGAUCUCUGGACAGUUACUGACACUGAGGCACGAAGGCCAGGGGAGCAAACGGG
rnacentral:rRNA from 1 species